rnacentral:rRNA from 1 species
GGAGCCUAACGCGUUAAGUCGACCGCCUGGGAAGUACGGCCGCAAGGUUAAAAUUCAAAUGAAUGACGGGGGCCCGCACAAGCGGUGGAGCAUUUGUUUUAAUUGGAUGCAACGGGAAGAACCUUACCUACUUUUGACAUCCAGAGAACUUACCAGAGAUGGUUUGGUGCCUUCGGGAAUUUUGAGACAGGUGCUGCAUGGCUGUGUUCAGCUGGUGUUGUGAAAUGUUGGGUUAAGUCCCGCAACGAGCGCAACCUUUAUCCUUUUUUGCCAGCGGUUCGGCCGGGAACUCAAAGGAGACUGCCAGUGAUAAACUGGAGGAAGGUGGGGAUGACGUCAAGUCAUCAUGGCCCUUACGAGUAGGGCUACACACGUGCUACAAUGGCGUAUACAAAGAGAAGCGACCUCGCGAGAGCAAGCGGACCUCAUAAAGUGUGUCGUAGUCCGGAUUGGAGUCUGCAACUCGACUCCAUGAAGUCGGAAUCGCUAGUAAUCGUAGAUCAGAAUGCUGCGGUGAAUACGUUCCCGGGCCUUGUACACACCGCCCGUCACACAAUGGGGUUGGGUUGCMMAAGAAGUGGGUAGC